GACGAACGCUGGCGGCGUGCCUAAUACAUGCAAGUCGAGCGAGCUUGCCUAGAUGAAUUUGGUGCUUGCACCAAAUGAAACUAGAUACAAGCGAGCGGCGGACGGGUGAGUAACACGUGGGUAACCUGCCCAAGAGACUGGGAUAACACCUGGAAACAGAUGCUAAUACCGGAUAACAACACUAGACGCAUGUCUAGAGUUUAAAAGAUGGUUCUGCUAUCACUCUUGGAUGGACCUGCGGUGCAUUAGCUAGUUGGUAAGGUAACGGCUUACCAAGGCAAUGAUGCAUAGCCGAGUUGAGAGACUGAUCGGCCACAUUGGGACUGAGACACGGCCCAAACUCCUACGGGAGGCAGCAGUAGGGAAUCUUCCACAAUGGACGCAAGUCGGAUGGAGCAACGCCGCGUGAGUGAAAAAGGGUUUCGGCUCGUAAAGCUCUGUUGGUAGUGAAGAAAGAUAGAGGUAGUAACUGGCCUUUAUU
rnacentral:rRNA from 1 species